rnacentral:rRNA from 1 species
ACUCCUACGGGAGGCAGCAGUGGGGAAUAUUGCACAAUGGGCGCAAGCCUGAUGCAGCCAUGCCGCGUGUGUGAAGAAGGCCUUGGGUUGUAAAGCACUUUCAGUCGUGAGGAAGGUAGUGUAGUUAAUAGCUGCAUUAUUUGACGUUAGCGACAGAAGAAGCACCGGCUAACUCCGUGCCAGCAGCCGCGGUAAUACGGAGGGUGCGAGCGUUAAUCGGAAUUACUGGGCGUAAAGCGCAUGCAGGUGGUUUGUUAAGUCAGAUGUGAAAGCCCGGGGCUCAACCUCGGAAUAAGCAUUUGAAACUGGCAGACUAGAGUACUGUAGAGGGGGGUAGGAA